rnacentral:rRNA from 1 species
AGAGUUUGAUCCUGGCUCAGAUUGAACGCUGGCGGCAGGCCUAACACAUGCAAGUCGAGCGAUAGAGAGGUGCUUGCACCUCUUGAGAGCGGCGGACGGGUGAGUAAUGCCUAGGAAUCUGCCUGGUAGUGGGGGAUAACGCUCGGAAACGGACGCUAAUACCGCAUACGUCCUACGGGAGAAAGCAGGGGACCUUCGGGCCUUGCGCUAUCAGAUGAGCCUAGGUCGGAUUAGCUAGUUGGUGGGGUAAUGGCUCACCAAGGCGACGAUCCGUAACUGGUCUGAGAGGAUGAUCAGUCACACUGGAACUGAGACACGGUCCAGACUCCUACGGGAGGCAGCAGUGGGGAAUAUUGGACAAUGGGCGAAAGCCUGAUCCAGCCAUGCCGCGUGUGUGAAGAAGGUCUUCGGAUUGUAAAGCACUUUAAGUUGGGAGGAAGGGCAGUUACCUAAUACGUGAUUGUCUUGACGUUACCGACAGAAUAAGCACCGGCUAACUCUGUGCCAGCAGCCGCGGUAAUACAGAGGGUGCAAGCGUUAAUCGGAAUUACUGGGCGUAAAGCGCGCGUAGGUGGUUCGUUAAGUUGGAUGUGAAAUCCCCGGGCUCAACCUGGGAACUGCAUUCAAAACUGACGAGCUAGAGUAUGGUAGAGGGUGGUGGAAUUUCCUGUGUAGCGGUGAAAUGCGUAGAUAUAGGAAGGAACACCAGUGGCGAAGGCGACCACCUGGACUGAUACUGACACUGAGGUGCGAAAGCGUGGGGAGCAAACAGGAUUAGAUACCCUGGUAGUCCACGCCGUAAACGAUGUCAACUAGCCGUUGGGAGCCUUGAGCUCUUAGUGGCGCAGCUAACGCAUUAAGUUGACCGCCUGGGGAGUACGGCCGCAAGGUUAAAACUCAAAUGAAUUGACGG